rnacentral:rRNA from 1 species
AUUGAACGCUGGCGGCGUGCUUAACACAUGCAAGUCGAGCGGUAACAGGCGUAGCAAUACGUGCUGACGAGCGGCGAACGGGUGCGUAAUACAUGGGAAUCUGCCCUUUGGUGGGGAAUAACCCGGCGAAAGCCGGGCUAAUGCCGCAUAAGAUCUUCGGAUGAAAGCGGGGGAUCGUAAGACCUCGCGCCGAUGGAUGAGCCCAUGUCGGAUUAGCUAGUUGGUGAGGUAACGGCUCACCAAGGCGACGAUCCGUAGCUGGUCUGAGAGGACGGCAAGCCACACUGGGACGGAGACACGGACAAGCCUCCUACGGGAGGAAGCAGUGGGGAAUAUUGGACAAUGGGCGAAAGCCUGAUCCAGCGACGCCGCGUGUGUGAAGAAGGCCUGCGGGAUGUAAAGCACUUUCGAUGGGAACGAAAUGUGUCGGGCUAAUACCCCGGCAAGCUGACGUUACUCAAUGAAGAAGCACCGGCUAACUCUGUGCCAGCAGCCGCCGUAAGAC